GAGUAAAGUGGCGCACGGGUGAGUAACACGUGACUAACCUACCUUCGAAUGGGGGAUAACCUCGGGAAACCGGGGCUAAUACCGCAUAAUAUCCGUUGUAGAAAUAUGGCGGAUCAAACGCGCAAGCGGUUUGAAGAGGGGGUCGCGGCUGAUUAGCUAGUUGGUGAGGUAAUGGCCCACCAAGGCAAUGAUCAGUAUCCGGCCUGAGAGGGCGCACGGACACACUGGAACUGAAACACGGUCCAGACUCCUACGGGAGGCAGCAGUGGGGAAUUUUGCACAAUGGGGGAAACCCUGAUACAGCAACGCCGCGUGGAGGAUGAAGGUCUUUGGAUUGUAAACUCCUUUCGAUCGGGACGAUUAUGACGGUACCGGAAGAAGAAGCACCGGCUAACUCUGUGCCAGCAGCCGCGGUAAUACAGAGGGUGCAAGCGUUGUUCGGAAUUAUUGGGCGUAAAGGGCGCGUAGGCGGUGCGGUAAGUCUCUUGUGAAAUCUCCGGGCUCAACUCGGAGUCUGCAAGGGAAACUGCCGUGCUUGAGUGUGGGAGAGGUGAGUGGAAUUCCCGGUGUA
rnacentral:rRNA from 1 species